AAGACCUUGCACCUUUGGAGCGGCCGAUGUCUGAUUAGCUAGUUGGUGGGGUAACGGCCUACUAAAGCUUCGAUCAGUAGCUGGUCUGAGAGGACGGCCAGCCACACUGGGACUGAGACACGGCCCAGACUCCUACGGGAGGCAGCAGUGGGGAAUUUUGGACAAUGGGCGCAAGCCUGAUCCAGCCAUGCCGCGUGAGUGAAGAAGGCCUUCGGGUUGUAAAGCUCUUUCAGCCGGGAAGAAAAGGUUGCGACUAAUAAUCGCAAUUCAUGACGGUACCGAAAGAAGAAGCACCGGCUAACUACGUGCCAGCAGCCGCGGUAAUACGUAGGGUGCGAGCGUUAAUCGGAAUUACUGGGCGUAAAGGGUGCGCAGGCGGUUUUGUAAGUCAGAUGUGAAAUCCCCGGGCUUAACCUGGGAACU
rnacentral:rRNA from 1 species